rnacentral:rRNA from 1 species
UACGGGGGGGGGCAAGCGUUGUUCGGAAUUACUGGGCGUAAAGGGCUCGUAGGUGGCCAACUAAGUCAGACGUGAAAUCCCUCGGCUUAACCGGGGAACUGCGUCUGAUACUGGAUGGCUUGAGUUUGGGAGAGGGAUGCGGAAUUCCAGGUGUAGCGGUGAAAUGCGUAGAUAUCUGGAGGAACACCGGUGGCGAAGGCGGCAUCCUGGACCAACACUGACGCUGAGGAGCGAAAGCCAGGGGAGCAAAGCGGG